rnacentral:tmRNA from 1 species
GGGGCCGAUCUUGGAUUUGACAGCAAGAUGGUUAAUUGUGUAAGCAUGUCGAGCUCUUGGUAAUUCCGCUCGUAAAUCUAGAAUUAUUACAGUCAGAAAUGACAACACUUCCUACUCGCUCGCAGCGUAGUCAACUCAGUUGAAUACACCUAAUUCUAGCUAUUAGAUAGCAGAACGAGCUAUCCCGAUGCAACGUACGGACCCUUCCGCGGCAUCAAUGGGGUAUCAGGCAAAUGGGACUAGUUAAGGGAGCGUUCUUCUCCUGGCGCGAAACUCCAAUGAACUAAGCUUUAGGUGGGCUGUCCAUGGCCAUCCUCAAGUCGAAAAUCAAUCAUGGAAUAAACAUGUAGAAGUCCCAGUUCUCCCUUGUUUGGACGGGGGUUCGACUCCCCCCGGCUCCAC